AAACAAAAGGACCCUAAAACUCAUUUGGGCCUUACACAACUUCUCUUGUAGUCGCUGACUCUACUACUUCUUCCUCAUAUUUUUAAUCUCUUCUUCCUCUCGAAUCUCUUUUGUUUAAUCCCCUAAUUGCAGUUAGGGAUUUGAUCCCCUUUGUUCCUUGAUCUUUAUCCCUUGAUUCUUUUGAGCCGUGGACAUGUUCCUCCUACAGCAUGUGCAAAGCUCACUGGUACAUGAUGCUUCUUCCUCUGCAUGUGACCGUUUUGAAUGACCCAGCUUGUCGAUUGCUUCAUUUGCUGGCAUGCUUGUAGCUUCUUAAUCUCGUUCUCCAUCAGAUAUACAUACUCUUGAUCUUUAGGGAUUGAUCUUCUCUCUAGCCUUCUUUUCAGCAAACAACAUGAGCUGGUUUUUCGUCUUUCUCAUCCAAUUUUUAAUGGAUUUCACACAUGUAAUUUCUUGCCUUUCUCUGUUUUCUUCUCUUGCCUGAUUUGAUUUUGAGUAAAUUUUGAACUUAUAGCCUCUUUGAAUUUAUUUUUGCGAGGUAUGUGUUUACUAGAGUUGCCAACUUGACACUCUUUCUUAUCCAUCUCUACCAUUUUUCCUUGUUCUUCUCUCCCUUGGACUGGUUCCUUUUACAAACAACCACAGCUUAGCUUAGCUUAAUUAAGAGCUGCGUAACUCUGAUCUCCCUAUUACUCUCGGAAUAUGGGAUUAUGCUGGCUAUAUAUAUACUUGGUAUGCACUUCAACUCAUUAUGUUGGACAUCACACUCUGAAGAAUGCAUCAAUGCUAGAUAUUCAGUGAUACUAUCAUUGGCGGCCAUCUAUACUAUUAAGCAAAAUUGUCACACGCCUACUCACCUUUAGAAGAGGAAGCAAAAGCAAUGUUGGUUGCAUUACAACAAUCUUGGAUAAGAGGUUACACUGCAAUCAUAAUGGAAGGGGAUUGCGAAGUUUUAGUGAACAUCAUCAAUGGCCGAACACGACACAGACAGCUGAUUAACAUCCUUGAAGAUUUUAAAGUUUUGGAUUUCAAAAUUUCAAUCCUUUAGCUCUGUUUUUACUAAGAGAAAGUGUAAUAAUGCAGCUCACUUAUUAGUCCAGUUGGGAUGUAAUUCUUAUAUUUUUUAUGCAGAGUCUGUAAUCAAGCCAUUGUGGCUCCAUGAACAAUUAUGUAUUGAUCAGCCUUAAUUCAAUA